rnacentral:misc_RNA from 1 species
GUGAAUCAUCGAAUUUUUGAACGCAAAUUGCACUCUUUGGUAUUCCGGAGAGUAUGCCUGUUUGAGGGUCAGUUUAAAUAAAAAUCGGUGUGGUUGGUGCCUUUCGUGGUGACGCAUUGGAUUUGGGUCGUCUUGACUUCGGCUAAGUGACGUAAAAUUUUGCAUGAUUUUUUUUGAAUGUAUUUAAAUGAAUUUACGUAGGUUUGCGAUAACGAAUACUUGGUACGGUCUUG